GGGGGGCUUACAUGNCAGUCGAGCGAGAAGCUGAUGACAGAUACUUCNGGUUGAAGGAGUCAGUGGAAAGCGGCGGACGGGUGAGUAACGCGUAGGCAACCUGCCCUUUGCACAGGGAUAGCCAUUGGAAACGAUGAUUAAAACCUGAUAACACCAUUUGGUUACAUGAGUAGAUGGUCAAAGAUUUAUCGGCAGAGGAUGGGCCUGCGUCUGAUUAGCUAGUUGGUAAGGUAACGGCUUACCAAGGCGACGAUCAGUAGCCGACCUGAGAGGGUGAACGGCCACAUUGGAACUGAGACACGGUCCAAACUCCUACGGGAGGCAGCAGUGGGGAAUAUUGCACAAUGGGCGAAAGCCUGAUGCAGCAACGCCGCGUGAAGGAAGAAGGCCUUCGGGUCGUAAACUUCUGUCCUUGGGGAAGAAGAACUGACGGUACCUAAGGAGGAAGCCCCGGCUAACUACGUGCCAGCAGCCGCGGUAAUACGUAGGGGGCAAGCGUUAUCCGGAAUUAUUGGGCGUAAAGAGUACGUAGGUGGCAACCUAAGCGCAGGGUUUAAGGCAAUGGCUCAACCAUUGUUCGCCCUGCGAACUGGGAUGCUUGAGUGCAGGAGAGGAAAGCGGAAUUCCUAGUGUAGCGGUGAAAUGCGUAGAUAUUAGGAGGAACACCAGUGGCGAAGGCGGCUUUCUGGACUGUAACUGACACUGAGGUACGAAAGCGUGGGGAGCAAACAGGAUUAGAUACCCUGGUAG
rnacentral:rRNA from 1 species